rnacentral:rRNA from 1 species
GACAGAGGGUGCAAACGUUGUUCGGAAUUACUGGGCGUAAAGCGCGUGUAGGCGGCUUGGCAAGUCGGGUGUGAAAGCCCCGGGCUCAACCUGGGAAGUGCACUCGAAACUGCUAAACUUGAGUAUCGGAGAGGGAAGCGGAAUUCUCGGUGUAGAGGUGAAAUUCGUAGAUAUCGAGAGGAACAUCGGUGGCGAAGGCGGCUUCCUGGACGAUUACUGACGCUGAGACGCGAAAGCGUGGGGAGCAAACAGG